GAUGUGGUUUUCCCUACGGCUGCUUCGUUCGUCCCAUCCCCCGCCAAUGGUCGGUUCUCCGCGAAGAAUAGAACCCUAAUUCUACUAAUCGCAUCUAUCCUUCGUUGCUUCCGCGUGGUACAUCGAUUGCUUUUUUCUGUACGUGAUCUUUAAUCGGCAGAUCUGCAUUUAGUUUUCCCGAGUUUGAUUUGCAUUGCGAACUCUGGCACUGGACUUGGUUUCUUUUCCUUUCACCGCUCGAUACGCUAUCAUCGUACAACUAUCGACGAGUUCGCGCACAGAGAUUUCUGAUUUGUUCUCUGGGAUCCUGUUUCUGAUGAUCCCAAAUCGAAAGUCAUGGCUGAAUGGGAGCAGAAAAUGUCUUUUUUUGGUGAUUAUACUUGAUGCGUUUCUAUACAGUGAUGCGUGAUUAACUAUCAACGAUUUAACUGUAUAGUUUGUUUUGUAGCCAAGAAAAGGGAGAAAAAAGGAAAAAACUAGCACCGAAGCAAGUUUGAGAUUAUUGACACAAUGUCGCCUGUUUCCCUUACUUCGUUUAACAUCGCUGUUUGUGUCCUCCAAUUUGCAUGAAUUGUACAUUUUGAUUUGGUAAUUGAUGUUGGUCGAAGCUGCUUCAGAGGAGGCUCAUUAGUAUCCUUCCGCCAGUGGAUUUGAUGAAGGCAGAUACAACCGUAAGAUCGACAUGUUUAAAGGAUCAAUGAGGCUUGCUGUGGACAAAUGGCGGCACAUACAAGUGACAGAUCCAGCUGAUUUCACUGUGAACGAAGACAAUAAUCUUUCUUUGAUCGAGUACGAGCUGGUGACUGUCGUUGAAGGGUGAUUGAGAACUAGCCAUGCCAAGGCAUGACUUCAUGAAUCAGUAUUGGUUUUCUAAUGAACUGUGAGGAGGAUCUUCCGAUCUCUCUCAGAUGCUUUUCCUGAAGUUAAUCGGCUGGAGUCUGUUAUGGUGAAAAAUAGGUCUCGGAUACAGUCAUGAAGAAGCUACCACCCGAAGGUGAUGAAUCCUUGUCAACACAGCACAGCUCACUGUGAUACUGAAAUUGGCAAGAUGUUGGUAAGCAUAAUAUUGUCAUCUAAAACCUGCACUUUUCAGUUAUUUGUGAAUUUUAAUUUCCAGAUGUCGCCACUCUGGUCGUUGCUUUUUAAUGGAGUGGGUGCUUCUAUCAUGUCGAGAGAGAGGAAACCACAGGUGAUCAUUUCGCCAAUGUUGUUCCUUAGAUUAUCUGCUCAUUUUUUGUGUCCGAAAACACUUAUCACUACUGCAUUUUGUUGGAAAAACCCCUAACUGGAAAGCUUGACGAUCACCGA